rnacentral:tRNA from 1 species
GCUAUCCUAGUUUACAAAAAUAUUGAUCUUGUAAAUCAAAGUUAGGUCUUCUCCUGUUUAGCU